rnacentral:rRNA from 1 species
UACGUAGGGUGCGAGCGUUGUCCGGAAUUAUUGGGCGUAAAGAGCUCGUAGGCGGUUUGUCACGUCUGCUGUGAAAUCCCGAGGCUCAACCUCGGGCCUGCAGUGGGUACGGGCAGACUGGAGUGCGGGUAGGGGAGAAUGGAAUUCCUGGUGUAGCGGUGAAAUGCGCAGAUAUCAGGAAGAACACCCGUGGCGAAGGCGGCUCUCUGGGACGGUACUGACGCUGAGACGCGAAAAGCGUGGGGAGCGAACAGG